GCACACCUCCCAGAUGCAUCUUCCUCAUGGGGUUGUCACAGGGUUUAAGAAAAUGAACUCAUAUAAAGGGCUCAGAAUAGUGUCUGGAUCACAGAACUCUGAAGAAUUUAUGUCAGUGAUUCUGAAGUGAGAAUGGAACAUGGAUCCAACCCUUCUAAGGGGAUCCAGGGAUCACCUCUAACACCUCUUUAGCUCUUAUGUGAACUCUUUGGCUGGAUCUAGAAACCAGAUUGACACCAGGCAGAUUGAAGAGAGAAAAGCAAGCAAAUUUCAUUAGUUUUUCAUGUACAUGAGGAUCUUCGCAAAAGAGUAAAUUUCAAG